AGAGGAUGGAGGGCUUUGCAUUCCAGGUACUAGGACAGAGGCGGGCUUGGGGGAAACACCGUCCUCUGCGGAUUGUGAAGGGGUCACGUGGCAUUUCCCCUUAAUGUCCUUAGUCAGAACUUAGUGACUCAGCUAAACAUUCAUUCUCAGCUGCCACGGCCCGGAUAAAAAUGUUACUGUAACAUAAGAUGGGAAAAUCCCUUGUUAAUCAUUAUAUUACGAAGGUUAUAGGGCUAUGGUUUCCUGGAGACGAAUACUGAAUUGGCUUAUUGUUCUUAGGAAGAAGUAAUCAUAAAUGGCUCACCAAGGGCAGCCCUAGCUAAAAACAAGCAGAACCGCCCUCUUCCAGCCCUAGGGGUUUCCUGGCAGAGAGGAACUGAGCUCAGCUCAUCUUUGCCACGCGGAGGGCAGCACAGGAGCUGGCCCCACAGGAAAGGAGUGGAACCGGGGGUCUGAAAAGCUCCCCGUUUCUGGGAGGAAACCACCAGGCCCAUGGGAUGGCUUCUGUGACCUGGGGGAGGUGACAGGAAGUAGCACCUGGAUUUGGCAGCAUAGGAGUCACUGCUGAGCGUUGUUAAAGCAGUGUUAGUGGCAGAUUGCUGAGAGCCGGCCUGGGGUUGGAGCGGGCUCUGCAGGAAGGUGUGGUACAUGUGCCUGUUAACCCAGCACUUGGAAAGCUGAGGCAAGAGGAUGGAGAGUUGGAUCAAGCCUGGCUCCAUGGCCAGACCCUAAUAAUUAACUGUACUAACCUACAAAUGGCAUGUGGACUACUUCCCAACCCACACACUACAGCAUUUUCUGAUGCUUACUGGAUUUACACUCACCAAAAAUAAAACAAAGAAGCCGGGCGGUGGUGGCGCACGCCUUUGAUCCCAGCACUUGGGAGGCAGAGGCAGGCGGAUCUCUGUGAGUUCGAGGCCAGCCUGGUCUGCAGAGUGA